UGAUACCCCACUAUGCUCAGCCCUAAACUUUAAUGGCACUAUACACAGCCAUUCGCCAGGGGACUACGAGCAUUAGCUUGAAACCCAAAGGACUUGGCGGUGCUUUAGAUCCACCUAGAGGAGCCUGUUCUGGAACCGAUAACCCCCGUUCAACCUCACCCUCCCUUGUUUAUUCCGCCUAUAUACCGCCGUCGUCAGCUUACCCUGUGAAGGUAACAUAGUAAGCAAAACCAGUACAACUCAAAACGUCAGGUCGAGGUGUAGCAUAUGAGAGGGGAAAAAAUGGGCUACAUUCUCUGACCUAGAGAAUACGGAUAAUGAGAUGAAAAAUCAUUUGAAGGAGGAUUUAGUAGUAAGCAAGAAGCAGAGUGUUUUGCUGAAACCGGCCCUGAAGCGCGCACACACCGCCC
rnacentral:rRNA from 1 species